rnacentral:rRNA from 1 species
GACGAACGCUGGCGGCGUGCUUAACACAUGCAGGUCGAACGGAAAGGCCCUGCUUUUGUGGGGUGCUCGAGUGGCGAACGGGUGAGUAACACGUGAGUAACCUGCCCUUGACUUUGGGAUAACUUCAGGAAACUGGGGCUAAUACCGGAUAGGAGCUCCUGCUGCAUGGUGGGGGUUGGAAAGUUUCGGCGGUUGGGGAUGGACUCGCGGCUUAUCAGCUUGUUGGUGGGGUAGUGGCUUACCAAGGCUUUGACGGGUAGCCGGCCUGAGAGGGUGACCGGCCACAUUGGGACUGAGAUAAGGCCCAGACUCAGACGGGAGGCAGCAGGGGGGAAUAUUGCACAAUGGGCGGAAGCCUGAUGCAGCAACGCCGCGUGCGGGAUGACGGCCUUCGGGUUGUAAACCGCUUUCGCCUGUGACGAAGCGUGAGUGACGGUAAUGGGUAAAGAAGCACCGGCUAACUACGUG